CAUAAAUACAAUAUCUUUUAAAAUACUUUCUCUUUAGAAUUUUCAUUUUCACCUCAGAUAAAAUGUACACAAAAUUCACUUGCAAGCUUGCUUACAGGAACCUGUUAAACAACAGACAGAUUAUAUCAAAUCAAAUAGCUGGAUCAACAUAUAAAGAAGGUUGGUUUUCGUUUAUGAAAAAGAAAUGUGACUAAACUGACUAGAGAAGAAGGCAAAACAAAAACUGUACUUGCUUGACAAGUCCUUUGGAGUAAACAAAAUGCUUCAAGGCUCCUGGUGAAUGGGGUUGCAAGGAUGACUUUUGCAUUCUGUGGGUAAGAUGGUAUACUGACUCAAAUCAUUAUGGCUAUACCAAGCUUCCUUUAUUUAUAAUUCUCCAUGAAAACAAGUCUAGUCUUUGGCAUAAUACAAGAAAGAAUAAAAGGACCCUAACCACCCCUUGGCUUUAUUUAGUCUGGGAGAUGGCAGCAGGGGAGCUGUAAUCUAAUUAAGCCUAUUUCUCUGAGAACAGCAGGAAAAUCAUCUUGAAUCAUAGUCUUCUGGCACGAUUAGGGCAAUGAACUUCUCGUUCUGAGCUCCCCACCUCUCCCCCCGCCCUGACUAGUCAUCCACUCAAAACAAAGAAACAAAACCAUACAAACCAGCCUUUCCCUCUAGGCACCUGCUCCUGCCUGGCUCAUGCCAAACCUGGAAAUUCUGCCACAUGGCUUCAACGGAAGUGAAACCCAAAAUAUCAAAAGCAUUCAUUUUUGUCCAGUUUUGCCCAUUUGGCGGGAAACUAAUUUUUAUUAGAGAGAAGCACUUCUAACAAAAAUCAGAUGAAAGACUUGUAGAAGGAGGAACAUAAAAGGAGCCUGCCUUUAGGCAUGAGGCAGCUGUGGUGGCCACUGGUGGCUGGGAGAGCCAAGGCAGUGAGCUUCCCAUCUUUAAGAGAAAACAUAUUUUAUGUGUUAGUUGAAAAGAUUGGCUUUUAGAUUCCUCCCUCCCCUUUUUGGCACCAGUUGGUAAAAUGAAAAUAAAUUAUUCCUAGGGAUUAAUUUUAAAAAUUUAAUUCAACAUCAGUUAUUAAAAGAACAAAUGCACAUAUAAUUUCCAAAAAUGACUAUGGAAAAUAAAACUGAAGUAGAAAAGCUUCACUUAUGUCCACCUACAGAGGCAAGGACUCGAAUCCUUGACAUCAUUAAUACUGAUAUGUAUGCUUUCUUAUCUAAUUCUAGUCAUUACUUGCUAUUCAUACAACCAUUUAAUUUAAAUAAUGUGAAGAUUACUUAAGCAGAAGUCUUUAGAGAAACUUAGAAAUCAAUAAAAAUCAAUAUAAUUUAUACAAGGGAGAGGAUUUUAAGGUACUUAAUUUUUUUCUCAAAUUAUUACCUCAAUGGUAAUACUUUUCAUUUUUUAAUGGAAAAAGAAUUUUCAAAGAUAAUAAUUAACUGAAUAUAAAGAUUUAAGAGAUAAACCAAGGCCCCAUCUAUAUUUAACAUGAUUUCCCAAAGCAUACUGAUGCACUUUCACAUUUUUCUCAUCAUUGGGAAGAUGAGAAAAUGUACAUGGUCUUAAUUCUGUAGACAGGUGCACAAACACAACUCAUGUACUGAAACAUCCUUAAAAUAGGCACGUGUACUGCUCAGAAGGGAGUUGGUUCAGCUUGCAAAUUCCCAUGAAGCCAAUUGGUAGACUCUUUACAGAUAUGCAGGAAAUUAGAAUAUUAAUUUUCACCAGUUACAUGAAAGAUGAAGGCACAUCAAGUAGUAUAUUAUCUUGGUGUGCUGAUAUUUUGGUGACUAAUGAGGGACAUAAAACUACUGGCAAGUGAGCAACUACUCAAAUUUCUGGAAGCCAGGAGCCAAGGCUGUAAUGGAAUCAACAUGGAAACAUCUCAUUAAAACCGUAUGGACAGAAGAAAUUAAAACACUACAUACUUAAGUUUAAAAUCACCUCAGUACAAGUCGAAGGAUCAACAUGAUACAAAAGGUCAUCCAUCAAGUUAAGGUUUAUAAAUACAAAGACGAGACGCUUACACUGAUCUCACUGUUCCAUAGAACUUAUACAUUCAUUGUCUUCUAGCUUGUAAAAAUCAACUGUUGGCAUGAUAAACCUGGAAAUGGGGAAGAUUGAACAGGAAUGUUGCAGAGAAUCCAAUUCCAAGUUGUCUGCUCAAGGUGAAGUUCAGUUUUUCUCUAGUGCUUGAUAAGUCAGGCUGAUUUUAAAAGGAGUAGUUGGAAACCUUUUCCAGGCAGUGGUUCUCCAAAUAUGGUCCCCAGACCAGCAGCACUGGUCUCAUCCGGGACCUUGUUAGAAAUGCAAAUUUCUAGGCUUAAUGAGUCAGACACUCCGGGCAUUGGCCCAGCUACCUAUGUCUUAACAAGCCCUCCAGAUGAUUCUGAUGUGUGCUAAAGUUUGAGAACCACUUUAAAGUCAAAAGUCCAAAGUUUUAAAGUCAAAAGAUACUAGACAACCACUACUUGAACCUUCAAGAUAGGAAUUAACUGUACAAACAAUUCUUGGUGCUUGAAAAGGCUGGAAGGACCACAGUUGGAUGGCAUUUACCAGCAGCUGACUGUAGUUUUGUCACUAAGAUGGCCAACCAGUCUCUUCUUCUUGGGACCCCCCCCGCCCCUUGCAUUAUUACACAAAGAUAGAGGGGAAAGAUUUUUGUAGGGUGCGAGUAUGUGGUAGUGGUUCUUCAACUAAUAACUAGUACCACUCUUUUUAAAGGAAAUUAGGCAUUGUUCUCAAGUGAAUUUCACCUAUACUAUCCUAGAGAAUAAUUGUUUGUUUGUUUGUUUUUUGGUCUAUCUUCCCUGAAGUAUUCAUUAUGUUUUGGAAAUUUAGAUGGUGUUAUAAUCCAAAACCUUCAUUAUUAGUUACUUCCACAUCAAAUACACAUAUUAUAAUACAGCCAGAGAAAAGAGAUCUCACAGAAAGACAGAGACAAAUUUUUUCUAGACUGCUCCACUAGUGAAUGAGGAGAACACAUUUUGUGGGGGAUGAGGCAUAAUUAUAUAUGGUUCUUUACUCAGUUUCAUAGAUCUUGCCAUAUAACAGGCUCAUAUAUCCAAUAAAAAGUGCUUAAAAAUAAGUCUUUGCUUUUUUUUAAGGCCACACUAUAUCUCCCUAAAUGGUACCCAACCAGAUGGAAGUUCUGUCAUCCAUUUAAAGCAACGUGUUGGAUUUUCCUUCUGCCUGUUUCCUUGUGUAUAAAGCAAGAAGAAAUAUUUAGGCCUUACGGCACAUGGUUACUAUGGAUACUGACCUGAUGCCCUCAGUACCUGCAUCUUUAAGCCAUUUGUCUGACCAGUUGCUUCCUUUUCAGAGAAUGUGCCUUUUAAAAGAUGGUCAUUUGUUUUGCAUAUUCCCAAAGUUUGAUGAUGACCAACAAUUUAUUCCUAUACACUUCCUAGAGAAGUAAGCAGAGAGGCACUGUUGGCUACAGGGCACUUUAUUCUGAGUGAUUAAGUGGUAAUUGUGAAAUGUCAACCAAUUGAUCGUUCCCGUCAUUUCAGACACAGACUCUCACAUUUUUCUGUAUAAACAGCUGGCCAUGGACAAUACUGUUCCAUCGCUUCCACCUAAUUUGGUGAGUUUUUUAAAUUACCACUGAGGAUCUGCUUUAGGAUUAAAAUUUAGUUUUAUUUUCGAACACAAAACAUUAUGUUAUACAUGAUCUUGCUAGGCCUAGAAACUAUCUUUUUUUAGAAAUCUGAAUAAUCCCUAUAACAUCAUAGAUAGAGACAUCAAUGAAAUAUUUCCAACUCAUUUGACUGUUUAAUUCCUUGAAACAUUAGCUUUUACUCUAUGUACUUAGACCAUGGGACCAUGGUAUUAUACAGAGAGCCUGGCCUUUGCAUGACGGAACACCUCUUUUGCAACCAACUUUGCCAUUUAUUGGUUCUCUUGGGCAAGUUUCUGAACUUGCCUGGGUCUCCAUCCUCAUCUGCAAAAAUGAGGAUAGCAGUGCCUGUUUCACAAGGUUACUGUGGGGAUUAAAUCUGGUGAAAUAGAUAAAGGUUCACAUUCUCAGAGGCACUCAAUGAUGUCACCUCUCCCUUGCUGUUUGUAACCUCUUGCUAUUGUUAUCAUUUCUAAACAGAGCUUUUCAUUUUGUUUAGUUUGAUGGGACUGAUAUGAAAGGAUUUUUCCUUCUGAGAACAAUAUAAAAAUUUUCUUUCUACAUGAGGAAUACUGUGAUAUAUUUGGGGAAGUCAAAAAUAUCUAUUAAAGGAGUUCCCUGGUGGCCAAGCAGUUAAGGAUUUGAUGUUGUCAGUGCGGUGGCUCAGGUUUGAUCCCUGGCCUGGGAACUUCUGCAUGCCAUGGGCAUGGCCCAAACAAAAAAGUAUCUAUUAUAUAACUGCAUUACCUUCUUACAGUUAAGGCCAUUUGACUUCCUCAACUGACUCUGUAUAAGCCCUCUCCUAAAAACAACAAGAACAACAAAGAAUCAUAGUGAUCACUGUACCAAGAAGUUUCCAUUUAAAGGUACUUUUGAAUUAUAUUAACAUUUUGUCAUGUUUGCUUUAGUCUGCGCUGUUAUGUAUGUUAGACUCUGCCUUGGUCAGCCACUGAAAUAGCCUAAAAAUGGUAAAAGGUGCCCAAGUUUUGUGAUGAUGGAGAAGGCAGGAAAACAGUAAGGGGAAAGACGACGAUGGGCUAGAAAAAGGCAGCCUAAGCAUCUCUAAAAGCAGGGCAGGAGCUGUGGCGGAUAGGAGGCGUCCUGUGAACAAUUUAUUAGCCCUCCAACAAAUCUAAGGACUUCAAUGACAAGGAGAAAUCUGCUAUCGAUUGUGGCGUCCUUGACAGGGCUGUUCGGUCAGGAAUUCUUUUGCACUUUGAGUUUUCCAGGUGCUUCUUCACUUUGGUAAAGAUGAACAAUUUACCAAAAUAUGAGAAAGAGAAUAAAUGUGUCAACCUUAGGGUAACACACUUUUGGCAGUAAAUACAGGCAACUAAAAGCAAUGUGUAAAAUCUUAUUCUGUUUAGAUACGAAAAUAUGUGCUAUAAACUGUUCUAACUACAAAGGCUGUCUUGACCUUGGUCUUUGAGAGACCAUGGAAGGAAGUGAAAGAAAAAGGGAAAGGCAGAAACAGAGACACAAUGAGGGGCUGACAGGCCAUCUGGGGAGGGGCCAUGCUUCUGCUAAGGGUUUUUAAUUACCUCCCUUUCUUCUCCACCCCUGGGAAAAGCUGACUGACUUCACUGUGACCUGAAGUACUAUUCCUUGGAAAUCAUUUGCAUCAAGCAAUGUCCUUUUUGAAACCUGCAAAUAUCUCUGGGAAGGAUUACUGUGACUUUGCUGAUUUUCCAGUUGAAAUCAGAAUGGAUGUGGCACACAGACGUGUUGGGAAUGGAGGUGGGCUCAAGAAUGUGGGCCUGGGGGGUGGUCUAUAGAAAAGAUGAUGGGAAGGGACCAAACCCCCCUUAUAAACUCUCUUGCAGGUAAAGAAUGAUAUACAUUCAUUCUCUCAUCUUUUAUUCUUGGGACCUAUAAUUAGGAUGGUCCUAGAGCAGUGUUUGGAUACAGUGUGAGAAAAACUUACUUUCAUAACCUAGUCAUGGAUCCCAUCACAGAGAAUCUUGUCAGAGAAUGAAUUCUGACUUCUAAACAGUUAACAACUUCUAGGACUUGACAUUCAUAAAUUAAGACUGGCUUCUUUGAAUUUUUAUACUUUAUAAAAAGUUGCUAGAUAUAAACAUUUCAUAAUUACUCUGAUUUGAUAAUAUAAACAUUUCAUAAUUACUCUGCUUUGAUAAUACUCUGCUUUGCUGAGGCUCCCUAACUCCUCCCAUAAAUUGUAGACACUCACAGGCUCACAAGGAAAUGGAUUUCCAAUAAGCUACAAUAAGAAACAAAAUUACCAGGGUGUACACCAUGGUGUACCAUUU
rnacentral:lncRNA from 1 species